rnacentral:rRNA from 1 species
GACGAACGCUGGCGGCGUGCUUAACACAUGCAAGUCGAACGAAGUGGCGAACGGGUGAGUAAUACGUGGGUAAACUGCCCUCCUUUUCGGGAUAAGCCUUGGAAACGGGGUCUAAUACCGAAUAAAGGGGGUUGGGCUCGGGGCAUAUCAGCUUGUUGGUGGGGUGAUGGCCUACCAAGGUGGUGACGGUUAGCCGGCCUGAGAGGGUAAGCGGCUACGUUGAGACAGAGAAACGGGCGAGACUCUUACGGGGGGGAGCAGUGGGGGAUAUGGCAGAAUGGGCGAAAGCCUCAGGCAGCGACGUCGAGGGGGGGUUGCAGGCUUUGGGGUUGUAAACCUCUUUCGAUAUCGAACGGGUAGGUGGAGAAGAAGCGACGGCUAACUACGUGCCAGCAGCCGCGGUAAUAC